UGACUGUGGGCUGGGGACUGG
rnacentral:miRNA from 1 species